AUGGAGAGUGCUGGCCUCUUGUCUUUCUUCCCUGCUUUGCUGCUUUGCUCUCUGAAACCUACAUUCCGUCAGUUUCCGAAUGCCAGGGCCUGGGAUGAAUUCGGUGCCUUUCCAUAUCUUGUUCUCUCUCCUUCCCCUGCGUUUCCUCUCCAUCCUUCAUCCUCCAUUGGUCUUUUACUCACUUUAGAAACAUUUUUAUUUAUUUAUUUUUCUUUCUUCCUAUCUGUCCCUCUCCUAACCCUCCCUUUGAAUUUUUUUUUUUUUUUUUUUUUUUUUUUUUUAAUUUUUAAAAAAAAUUAAAGUAAGAAGUCAGCCUGCAAUAGGGCAGAAACGCCAAGAGAACAUAAUAAUAGUAGUAAUGUGUGUUCCUUCACUGCUAAUUGCACCAAAUUUUACCAUGUGCUCCUGAAGCCAAGCCUGCCUGCUGCCUUCCAAACCCAGCUUCUCCUGCAGCCGCUUACCAGGGGUGACACAAUCACUGCUUAGUGCAGCUCCUCCCGAGGUGGCUGCCAUGGCUGGACCCUGCCUGUCAAACGCUGAGAAGGCAGCACCUGGGGCCUCAGUAUUCAAGAGCACAGUGUGGCUUCCCUCCAUCUGUGCCUGGUGCUGGGCGCCGAGGCUGGGCCAGGGCUCUCCCAGGGUUGGGUGUCAGAGCCAGACAGGACUUUAAAGAACAGUGGGCAUGUUUCAGAUAAGGAAACUGAGGCUGCGAAGCAAGAGGGAAUAGGGGCUCUUUAUUAUUCAACAGUGGUUUCUUGAGCACCUUUUCCAUGCCAAGUAGCGGGGGAGGAGUUAGGCAUGGCUCUGCCCUAAUGUUGGAUGGGGGCAGCCAAGCACCCAGAAUACUCAGGUGUAGGGGGACAGGUGCUAGAAGAGUGGGCGUGGGGGGUGUGUGAGCCCCAAGGCGAGGCCCCAUCCUCCCCCUGCUGGCUGUUUGCCACUGUCCUCACACAACCUGAGGUGGUAUUUUGAUUGCCAUUUACCUAUGGAGAAACCGAGGCCUGUUCUGUCUUACGGUGCUGCCCAGGUGUGGAGGCGAGCCUUAUGCUUGCUGUAUGCCUAGGAAAGCUGGGCUGCUCCCACUCCACAGAAGCACAGCCAAUGCCCACCCACUGACACCGGGCCUCCGGACGUGGGGGAGACAGCAGUGAAUAAAGCAGACGGGAGCCCCGCCUGCCCA
rnacentral:lncRNA from 13 species